rnacentral:rRNA from 1 species
GAUGAACGCUGGCGGCGUGCCUAAUACAUGCAAGUCGAGCGAACGGAUGAGAAGCUUGCUCCUCUGACGUUAGCGGCGGACGGGUGAGUAACACGUGGAUAACCUACCUAUAAGACUGGGAUAACUUCGGGAAACCGGAGCUAAUACCGGAUAAUAUAUUGAACCGCAUGGUUCAAUAGUGAAAGACGGUUUUGCUGUCACUUAUAGAUGGAUCCGCGCCGCAUUAGCUAGUUGGUAAGGUAACGGCUUACCAAGGCAACGAUGCAUAGCCGACCUGAGAGGGUGAUCGGCCACACUGGAACUGAGACACGGUCCAGACUCCUACGGGAGGCAGCAGUAGGGAAUCUUCCGCAAUGGGCGAAAGCCUGACGGAGCAACGCCGCGUGAGUGAUGAAGGUCUUCGGAUCGUAAAACUCUGUUAUUAGGGAAGAACAUAUGUGUAAGUAACUAUGCACGUCUUGACGGUACCUAAUCAGAAAGCCACGGCUAACUACGUG